CGGAUCUUCAUUAGCUUGCUUUUGAAGAUCAGCGGCGGACGGGUGAGUAACACGUGGGCAACCUGCCUGUAAGACUGGGAUAACUUCGGGAAACCGGAGCUAAUACCGGAUAAUCCUUUCCCUCACAUGAGGGAAAGCUGAAAGACGGUUUCGGCUGUCACUUACAGAUGGGCCCGCGGCGCAUUAGCUAGUUGGUGAGGUAACGGCUCACCAAGGCAACGAUGCGUAGCCGACCUGAGAGGGUGAUCGGCCACACUGGGACUGAGACACGGCCCAGACUCCUACGGGAGGCAGCAGUAGGGAAUCUUCCGCAAUGGACGAAAGUCUGACGGAGCAACGCCGCGUGAACGAUGAAGGCUUUCGGGUCGUAAAGUUCUGUUGUUAGGGAAGAACAAGUACCGGAGUAACUGCCGGUACCUUGACGGUACCUAACCAGAAAGCCACGGCUAACUACGUGCCAGCAGCCGCGGUAAUACGUAGGUGGCAAGCGUUGUCCGGAAUUAUUGGGCGUAAAGCGCGCGCAGGCGGUUCCUUAAGUCUGAUGUGAAAGCCCCCGGCUCAACCGGGGAGGGUCAUUGGAAACUGGGGAACUUGAGUGCAGAAGAGGAGAGCGGAAUUCCACGUGUAGCGGUGAAAUGCGUAGAGAUGUGGAGGAACACCAGUGGCGAAGGCGGCUCUCUGGUCUGUAACUGACGCUGAGGCGCGAAAGCGUGGGGAGCGAACAGGAUUAGAUACCCUGGUAGUCCACGCCGUAAACGAUGAGUGCU
rnacentral:rRNA from 1 species